rnacentral:rRNA from 1 species
GAUGAACGCUGGCGGCGUGCCUAAUACAUGCAAGUCGAGCGAACGGACGAGAAGCUUGCUUCUCUGAUGUUAGCGGCGGAAGGGUGAGUAACACGUGGAUAACCUACCUAUAAGACUGGGAUAACUUCGGGAAACCGGCGCUAAUACCGGAUAAUAUUUUGAACCGCAUGGUUCAAAAGUGAAAGACGGUCUUGCUGUCACUUAUAGUUGGAUCCGCGCUGCAUUAGCUAGUUGGUAAGGUAACGGCUUACCAAGGCAACGAUGCAUAGCCGACCUGAGAGGGUGAUCGGCCACACUGGAACUGAGACACGGUCCAGACUCCUGCGGGAGGCAGCAGUAGGGAAUCUUCCGCAAUGGGCGAAAGCCUGACGGAGCAACGCCGCGUGAGUGAUGAAGGGCUUCGGAUCGUAAAACUCUGUUAUUAGGGAAGAACAUAUGUGUAAGUAACUGUGCACAUCUUGACGGUACCUAAUCAGAAAGCCACGGCUAACUACGUG